rnacentral:rRNA from 1 species
UACAGAGGUCUCAAGCGUUGUUCGGAUUCAUUGGGCGUAAAGGGUGCGUAGGCGGCGCGGUAAGUCGGGUGUGAAAUCUCGGAGCUUAACUCCGAAACUGCAUUCGAUACUGCCGUGCUUGAGGACUGGAGAGGAGACUGGAAUUUACGGUGUAGCGGUGAAAUGCGUAGAUAUCGUAAGGAAGACCAGUGGCGAAGGCGAAUCUCUGGACAGUUACUGACACUGAGGCACGAAGGCCAGGGGAGCAAACGGG